UGUUGCCCCCUCCACCGGAGCUGUUGGCUUUGGCGUUGGCGGCGCGCUCCUGCUUGCGGAACUUGGCACGCCUGUUCUGAAACCACACCUGUUUGGACAAUUCCCGUUUUCAUUUCUCGACGUGUACCUGACGAAUAAGGUGUGGGCUGGUGCUCCCUGAGGGCUCCCAGGGUGCAGCUGGCCGUGCUGAGCGGGGUGCAGGCCGGGUUGGAGAAGGGUCCGCUCCGGAUGGGGUUGUACUGGAACGAGCUGGCCUGGCUGCACGAGCUGAAGUCCGCGUAGGCCGACGCUUCCAUGGCGGCCAUGCACGAGUCGUAGGAGUUCAGCACCUUGAACUCGUCUCCGUUUGUCCUGGCGGCAGAAGGUGGACACUAGAGAGCGAGUGAGUCUGGAGGGAGCUUAUGGGCAUGAUGGAGAGCCAGAGAAGAAGACAUUCCUGCCGAGUGUAUGCGACGUUCUCUACACACCAGAAUUCCAAAGAAAUUCUCCUGUCAUGUCGUCUCACAAGGU